rnacentral:sRNA from 1 species
GUUUCAAUUCCUCAUAGGCUCGGCGUUAUA